CUUGAACAAAGGGUUCUAGAGGGAAAAACAAUCUUGGAAGUACUGGAUGCUCAGUCCUUUUUUUGAAAGUCUAAAAUUCAUGUAGCACCUUAAGCCACAAGAGUCGCAAUUAUAAAAAGGAAAUUGAACACAGCUAACUGGAUAAAACAGCUUGCAGUGGAAAGUUUUCUUGAGUUGCUUUCAACACCAGUGAGAUGAUAUUACUGUUUCCCAAUUUCAAGGUAGCACAGCAGGCUUUGUUGGAGACAGCUGAACAAGAGGACAGGGGAUUUUUGUGAGAUGACAAGACCUCACAACAGGGUUUCAGGACUACAGGGUUCACAAUAUUGUGUGGAUAGCAGACACUGACAAAUAAAUGAAAAAGGAGUUGGGCUGGGAGCACAUUCUGGAAAUCUAGAAGAUAACAUCCUUAUCUGAAACUCACACUGACAUUUGCACGAGAGAGACGCUUUGUGGCAGCUGAUGACAAAAGCUCAUUAAGAUGACAAAACCAUGAUUCUCUUUGCACUGCUGAUGUUCCAUGAACAUCAGAGGUUACGUUAGCUAUAGAAGCGUCAUGGAAAUCUCUGAACAGUGCUAAGGACUCCCGGACUCUCUAUCCUACAAAUCACUUGUUGUAACACAGCCAGGUCACCAGUAAAUACUUCCCAUUCCCAUGAUUCAAGGUUCAAGAUUUUCAACACAUUUAAAACCAGGAGCAUUGGUAUCCUUUAAUCUUACAAAUCUUUA
rnacentral:lncRNA from 1 species